GACGAACGCUGGCGGCGUGCUUAACACAUGCAAGUCGAACGGAAAGGCCUGCUUUCCCUUGUGGAUUGCGGGUACUCGAGUGGCGAACGGGUGAGUAACACGUGAGUGAUCUGCCCCCAACUUGGGUAUAAGCCUGGGAAACUGGGUCUAAUUCCCGAUAGGACUGCAGGGUGGUGCCUGUGGUGGAAAACGAUUUUCUAGUGGUUGGGGAUGAGCGCGCGGCCUAUCAGCUUGUUGGUGGGGUAAUGGCCUACCAAGGCGGCGACGGGUAGCCGGCCUGAGAGGGUGGACGGCCACAUUGGGACUGAGAUACGGCCCAGACUCCUACGGGAGGCAGCAGUGGGGAAUAUUGCACGAUGGGCGGAAGCCUGAUGCAGCGACGCCGCGUGGGGGAUGACGGCCUUCGGGUUGUAAACUCCUUUCGGCCGCGAGGAAGCCACCUGGUUGGAAGGGUGGUGACGGUAGUGGUAGAAGAAGCACCGGCUAACUACGUG
rnacentral:rRNA from 1 species